UCUUUUUUCCUUUUUCUCAAUACAUGUUUUUGCGUAAUGUUUUGAAUUUUCUGCUGAUGUAUCUUUUUUUUUUGUGUGUAAGUAUCUUAUUGUUUCUUACUUGCUAUUCAAAUCAGGUUAAACUUUUAAUUAGUUUCAGAAAUUGAUUUAUUUAUUCAGGCUCAACAUUGAUGAGAUGGUUUGCAUUUUUUAUACCUUGUUUUGAUGCUUGAUUGUUGGUAAACUUAACGUCCUGGAUCAAUUGUUGAACGCUGAUAUAGAAAGUAAAUUGAGUUGCUUUUAACGUAUGUGUGUUCCAAUCGAAUGCUUACUCUCUUUAUCUAGGAGAGAAAUAGAAGACAAAUGUAACUUUAAGAAUAUCUCCUCUUGUCUCUGAUGGAUCUUUCUGUCAAUCAAAUAAUUUGGUUACUAUGAAAAUAAUGUGAUGCAGGUGAACUGAGAAGUUUUUGUUAAGUUUAAUUGUUUAUUAUUCAUUCAUUACACAAUCAAUCCCUCAAUCACAUGCUACCUGGUCAUUAUCAUUUUUUUGAGUUUUGAUUGUUUGAUCACACGCUAUAUUAUGUAUCUACUUUUGUUACUUUAGCCCCUGGUUAGUAGUUCUAUUUUAGGCGGUUCCGUUCUGCCUUCCAUUUUCUCUAUAGUCUAUACUUAAUAUAUACUAUAUUAGCCCCAACAAUUCUUUGUCAAUUUUCUUUAAUUAGAGUUGUUAGUGAACAAUAUGUUGACGAACAGAACUUGACUAGGCUCGUCAAACUCAAACAGGUCCUAUUUAUUUGUGAACUAAACAAAUUUUGAGCUCGUUUUGUUGCUUGAUUGUUAGUAAAACAGAACCUGGGAAAGAUCUGUUUGACUCGCGGUGUGUGCAUGGACAGUACUUGCUACCCUCUUUUUCAUUCAUAAAUGUAUAAAAGUCAUUUGCUCUUCUGUUAGAGUUUCGAAGUUACCCAAUAACCGGAAACUGAUUAGUUUAAUUAGCAUGUUGAUUGUUUGUAUCUAAAAGAAUGGAUUAAAACGGAGCUUAAAUGAGCUGCACGUUAGCUGUCUUUACCAAUGAAUAGGACAAGCUUGAACUCAAAAUUUACUUGAAUGGGACAUGAGCUUGAUCUUAAUUCAUAAAAUGUUGCCCACCUUGUGUUUGCUUCUUUCAUUUACUUCUCUGCCUUUAAUUGACAUACGGGAAUACCAAGUACUUUAGAGUAAUUUUUGGUCCCAUAUGAGGAAGGUAUACACAGCUAAGCUGGGCCAACUAAAGGUGGUAAAAACUGGGAAUGAUUGAGUAUGCCUUCUCCCAUGAUAAUUUCUGUGUAGGAGUCAAACUCUGUGUCGCUCUCGGGAAAAAGAAGUUCCACUCAAUUUUUUAAUAGUGCUGUGUUCUCAUCCUUCUGGGUGCUUUCUGGAUUAUGAAGAGCAGUCCUCGGGCAUUAUAGUUUAGGCAUUGCUCUAUUAAGAGAAAUUGGUGAAUUUAAGCAUCUCUAUUUGUUCCAUCCUUCAGCAUAGUUCUGGAUUUCUAAUGAAGACCGGAACACUUUUCUGUAGUGAUUCCUUUUUAUCCGUAAGGUAGGUGAACAUUUACUUACUGUUUAAUUUUAAAAUAUUUGGAAAAAGUGACUUUUGAUUGAAA